rnacentral:misc_RNA from 1 species
GAUGAAGAACGCAGCGAAAUGCGAUACGUAAUGUGAAUUGCAGAAUUCAGUGAAUCAUCGAGUCUUUGAACGCACAUUGCGCCCCCUGGUAUUCCGGGGGGCAUGCCUGUCCGAGCGUCAUUGCUGCCCUCAAGCACGGCUUGUGUGUUGGGCCUCCGUCCUCCUCCCGGGGGACGGGCCCGAAAGGCAGCGGCGGCACCGCGUCCGGUCCUCGAGCGUAUGGGGCUUCGUCACCCGCUCUUGUAGGCCCGGCCGGCGCUUGCCGACACAUCAAUCUUUUUUCCAGGUUGACCUCGGAUCAGGUAGGGAUACCCGCUGAACUUAAGCAUAUCAAUAUGCGGAGGA